UACGAAGGGUGCAAGCGUUACUCGGAAUUACUGGGCGUAAAGCGUGCGUAGGUGGUUUGUUAAGUCUGUUGUGAAAGCCCCGGGCUCAACCUGGGAAUGGCAAUGGAUACUGGCAGGCUAGAGUGCGGUAGAGGGUAGUGGAAUUCCCGGUGUAGCGGUGAAAUUCGUAGAUAUUGGGAAGAACACCGGUGGCGAAGGCGGCUCACUGGCUCGUAACUGACGCUCAUGCACGACAGCGUGGGGAUCAAACAGG
rnacentral:rRNA from 1 species